rnacentral:tRNA from 1 species
GCUUAUAUAAUUUAAAUUCAGAAUUUUACAUUGAAGCUGUGAAUGUGGUUAAUAACCUGUAAGCA